UACGAAGGGGGCUAGCGUUGCUCGGAAUCACUGGGCGUAAAGGGUGCGUAGGCGGGUCUUUAAGUCAGGGGGGAAAUCCUGGAGCUCAACUCCAGAACUGCCUUUGAUACUGAAGAUCUUGAGUUCGGGAGAGGUGAGUGGAACUGCGAGUGUAGAGGUGAAAUUCGUAGAUAUUCGCAAGAACACCAGUGGCGAAGGCGGCUCACUGGCCCGAUACUGACGCUGAGGCACGAAAGCGUUGGGAGCAAACAGG
rnacentral:rRNA from 1 species